rnacentral:tRNA from 1 species
CGGGGUGUAGCGCAGUCUGGUAGCGCGCCUGCUUUGGGAGCAGGAGGCCGGGGGUUCGAAUCCCUCCACCCCGA